CACUUUCCUUGGCCGCCUGCGCGGUCCCAGGGUGUGGGAAGAGGUCAAAACGAAAGGGCCGGGAAGCACGGCCCCCGCGGGGGAUCCUAGCCCAGUUCUGGGCGUGGCAUCAUUCUCCCACCACCACCUAGUUCCCACCCCCUCGCUGCCUCGCGUUCACUUCCCCUCAGGGACGCAUCCGCCUUCCAAGUUCACAUCGCACCUUUUUGCGCAAGGGACUUCCUCCAGGCCAGGCCAUCCUGCUCUGUGCUGGGUGUCCCUGUGAGCGGCCAGCAGAAGCCGAGUGGAGCGCAUGCCAGUUUGGACUCUGGGAACUCACCGCUCUCGGGACUCAACAACUCUGUGCGCCAGCCAGUUUCCCGUCCUCUGAGAUGUCUGACUCCUCCUGGUCUUACAGGAGAGAGGGAAGAUGAGAAGGUUGGGAGACAGGUACAAAUCUCCUUAACAAGACUUCAGAGUUUGGCAAGAGUGGUUAACUUACUUGGUGAUCAGAAGUGGGAUGCGAAGAAGACCCCCAGCAACUCUGAGGCUGGUGAACAAACCUGACAGCACCCACAGAGCCAUUUGGGCUCACUGCUUUCUCGCUGACCCUGGAGUUUGCGGUCCUAAAUCCAACAACCGGUGUCCUUAUAAGAGGCAGAAGAGGAGAAGACGCAAACUAUAGAGAAGGCCAUGGCCAUGUGAAAACAGAGAUAAAAGAAGCCACAAGCCAAGGAAUGUCUAAAGCCAUCAGAAGCUGGAAGGGGCAAUUCUGCAGUUGAAUGCUGGUCACCGUGAUUCAGGGAACCCCCUCCAACUGUGUCUCCUGUUGGCUACUCUGAAUGCCUGGCUCAUGUGGGGUCUUUCCACUUCCUUCAGGUCAGAGCCCACUCCCAUAAGAUCUGACACAACCUUCAAAAUCUUGCAGUUCCUACACCUGCAUAACUGGGACAAGAUUGGGAUGUUCUUGAGGAUGACUGCAGCCCUAGAUAUGACCCCAACCAGGAUUCCCAGUGUAACCAGAGCAUGGGACACCAUGUUGUGGUAUGACCUCUGUGAGAUGGCCACAGAAUCUGAAGGUAUUUCACUUGCAUAAAGUCCAGACCCCUUCUUGCCCUGUAAGAAUCUGCCCAGGUGGGAAGACCUCCUUGUUCUCAUAACCCUUUGGUCUCUAGUCUGGCUUCAGAAUCUACUCUUCAUCAUUCUGCUGUCCUGCUUCUCACAAAUGAGCAAAUAUGGCACCGACUUGCAUUAAAACAC